AUGGAUUCGCUGGCUCUCGCCUGCUGCACCGCGUCCCUAAUCAUUCUAUUCCUGCCUUUUAAUGCUUCCGUCGACCGGCUUGUCCCUGGCAAGCCGCUGUCUCCUGGCAACACCAUCGUCUCCGACGGCGGCGUAUUCGCCUUGGGCUUCUUCAACCCCUCCAACUCCACACCAACCAAGUUGUACCUUGGCAUAUGGUACAAUGAUAUCCCCGAGCUCACAGUUGUGUGGGUUGCCAACCGUGAAACCCCAAUCACCAACAACACCUCCUCUGCGCCGAUGCUAUCCCUCACCAACACCUCCAAUCUCGUUCUCUCCUACGGUAAUAGCAGCGGCCGUGUCCUUUGGACAACAACCAACGUGACCACUGCCCUGGGCACGUCUACCCAGACGGCGGUGCUUCUGAACACUGGAAACCUCGUCAUCCGGUCGUCAAAUGGCACCAUGUUGUGGCAAAGCUUCGACCACCGCACCGACACACUCCUUCCUGGGAUGAAGCUCCGGAUCAAAUAUAGGACGCGCCACACUGCCGAGCGUCUAGUAUCCUGGAAGGGCCCUAGCGAUCCCUCGCCAGGGCGCUUCUCCUACGGCAGCGACCCAGACACACCUCUCCAAACAUUCAUGUGGGAUGGACAGAGCUUGGUGUUCCGCGACACCCCAUGGACAGGGUACCAAGUGAAGAGCGCAAUCCAACGACAUGAAGCAGGGACUAACAUCAGUGAUCUUAUCAUGUACCUAGCCUUUGUGGAAAAUGGCGAUGAGAUUUAUGCCACAUAUAGCCUCUCGGACGGCGCUCCACUCACAAGGUCAGUGAUUACCUACUCUGGCGAGUACCAGCUCCAGAGCUGGAGCAGCAGGUCAUCAAUGUGGGAUGUCCUUUGGAAGUGGCCAUCUGCUGAAUGUAACCGCUAUGGUUACUGCGGUCCAUAUGGCUAUUGCGAUGAGACAUCGGCGCCAAUCCCAUCCUGUAAGUGCCUAGAUGGCUUCGAGCCAAGAAACAUGGAGGAGUGGACUAGUGGCAGGUUCUUGGCGGGGUGUCAGAGGAAGGAGCAGCUGCAUAGUUGCGGUGAUAGCUUCUUGGCCUUGCCAGGGAUGAAGUCGCCUGACAAAAUUGAGCUCGUUGAACGGGGCAGAAGUACGUUUGAGGAGUGCGCCGCGGAGUGCAACCGCAACUGCUCUUGUAAGGGUUACGUGUAUCGUAAUGUGAGCAGUGAUGGAGAUGUGAUGAUGUGCUUGGUGUGGUCUGGGGAAUUGAUUGACACCGGGAAGGUAGGGGUAGAGCUUGGCGGCGAGACACUCUAUCUCCGACUUGCAGGCUUGGAUGCAGGAGGAGGUAAAAGGAGAAAGAUUAAUGCAGGCAAGAUUGUGCUACCAAUUUUAGGCGGUGGUGCUCUAGUACUUAUAUGCAUCUCUCUUGCAUGGUUAAAAUGCAAAGGCAAGAGCAGAAAAUGGAGAAAGCACAAGAAUAUAAGAUUAGAUGGUAUGCAUACCUCCGCUGAGCUUGGAGAAGAAAACCCUCCUCGUGAUCAGGAAUUUACAUUUAUAAGAUUAGAAGAAAUUUCCCUCGCAACCCACAAUUUCUCUGAAGCAUACAUGAUUGGACAAGGAGGCUUUGGAAAAGUUUACAAGGGACUGUUAGGUGGAAAAGAAGUUGCAAUCAAAAGGCUAAGUAGAGAUUCUCAACAGGGAACAAAAGAAUUCAGGAAUGAAGUAAUUCUAAUUGCAAAAUUGCAACAUAGAAACUUGGUUCGACUUCUUGGAUGUUGUGGUGACGGAGAUGAAAAGCUCUUGAUAUAUGAGUAUCUCCCUAACAAGAGCUUAGAUGCUAUCCUUUUUGACGACUCAAGAAAGCUCUCGUUGAAUUGGGUGACACGAUUUAGUAUAAUCAAAGGGGUUGCAAGGGGGCUUCUAUAUCUUCACGAAGACUCAAGGUUCACCAUAAUACAUAGGGACCUCAAACCUGGAAAUAUUUUGCUGGAUGCAGAUAUGAAACCCAAGAUAGCAGAUUUUGGUAUGGCGAGGAUCUUUGGUGAUCACCAGCAAAAUGCAAAUACGCAACGCGUAGUUGGAACAUAUGGUUACAUGGCUCCUGAGUAUGCAAUGGAAGGCAUCUUCUCUACCAAGUCUGACGUCUAUAGCUUUGGAGUGUUGCUACUAGAGGUUGUAACUGGUAUAAGGAUGAAUUCUAAUAGUGAAACCAUGGGUUUCCCUAGCCUCACAGUCUAUGCAUGGAAUAUGUGGAAGGAAGAGAAGACUGAGGAACUACCAGACUCAUCUAUCAUAGAGAUUUCGACAGAAGAAGUUCUGCUUUGUGUCAAGAUAGGACUCUUGUGUAUCCAGGAGAACCCAGAUGAUAGACCGCUCAUGUCAUCUGUUGUGUUCGUCCUAGAGAAUGGAAGCACCACACUUGCAGCGCCUAGCCGCCCAGCCUACUUUGCACGACGAGGUGCUGAAAUCGAUCAAAUCAGAAAUAAUAUCGAGACUUCCGUCAACAGUUUUAGUCUUUCUCAGAUAGAGGGGCGAUGA
rnacentral:rRNA from 1 species